GUGGAGUCACUAAAAAUAACAUGGAAUCUAUCAGGCAGUUUUCUUAGGACUUUUGUUACUCCAUUCUUGUGUCUCUGGUUUUAUUGCCUGAGCUGCUGUGUCGAUGCUUUUGGAGCUGCAUGGUCGGUGUGCAGCCUCAGGAAUCCAGUGAGCUGAUUGUAGGUUGUGACAGUGAU